rnacentral:rRNA from 1 species
AACGAACGCUGGCGGCGUGCCUAACACAUGCAAGUCGAACGGAGUGAAAGAGCUUGCUUUUUCAUUUAGUGGCGCACGGGUGAGUAACGCGUAGAUAAUCUGCCUUGGACUCAGGGAUAACAUCUCGAAAGGGGUGCUAAUACCUGAUAAGCCCACGGGGACUUAAGUUCUUGCGGGAAAAGGGGGCCUCUGAACAUGCUCUUGAUCCAAGAUGAGUCUGCGUACCAUUAGCUAGUUGGUAGGGUAAGAGCCUACCAAGGCUACGAUGGUUAGCUGGUCUGAGAGGAUGAUCAGCCACACUGGAACUGAGACACGGUCCAGACUCCUACGGGUGGCAG